AAUUAGAUAUUUAAAAUUAAAAUUUUGAAAAUUAAUAUUUUAAUUUUAAUUUCAAAAUUUAAAAUGUAAAAGUUAAAAUUUUCAAUUUAAAAUUUUCAGUUUAAAAUUUUAAAUUCAAUUAUAAGGGUAAUAUCAUUAUUUUCUAUUUAUAACUACCAACUAUUCCACCUUAUACUCACAUUUUUAUCCAAACACAAUUUUUCUAGUUCGAGCUUAUACUCACAUUUUCAUCCAAACAAAAAAAUACCCGUGUUCCUAUGAAAAUCCAUACUUGUACCUAUCCCCGGUAUAAUUAGUUCUUGCUUAUAUCCGAACCAAACGAAGCAUAAGUUUUCGACCGUUUAGAUGAAAAAAUAUGCGGUUAGGAUGAAAGUGGUUACGGUUAGAUUGAUAGUGGGUCCCCUAGGGUUGAGUGGGUAGUUUGUUGAAUAGUAUAAUCUAACAGGUGAAAAUGAUUAAAGGGUAGAUCUAACGGCGAAAAACUUAUGAGUAUAAUAGGCUCUAUACUAAUAAAAGUAUAGUAGCCGGACUCUCUCUCUCUCUCUCUCUUUCUCUCUCUCUCUCUCUCUCUCUCUCUCUCUCUCU
rnacentral:lncRNA from 1 species